rnacentral:rRNA from 1 species
AGUGGAUGGGGAGCAACCUAGUUGUGCGUGUGUAAAGGUAGUGCCAAGAAAAGCGAUGAUCAUAUUGAAAAUCAAUUCCCGGUACCCGAAACCGACACAGGUGGGCAAGUAGAGAAUACUAAGGGGCGCGAGGUAACUCUCUCCAAGGAACUCGGCAAAAUGACCCCGUAACUUAGGGAGAAGGGGUGCCACCGAGAGGUGGUCGCAGUGAAGAGGCCCAGGCGACUGUUUAGCAAAAACAUAGGUCUCUGCAAACUCGAAAGAGGAGGUAUAGGGGCUGACGCCUGCCCAGUGCCGGAAGGUUAAAGAAGUUGGUCAGUCUUAGGAUGAAGCUAGCGACUGAAGCCCCGGUGAACGGCGGCCGUAACUAUAACGGUCCUAAGGUAGCGAAAUUCCUUGUCGGGUAAGUUCCGACCCGCACGAAAGGCGUAACGAUCUGGGCGCUGUCUCGGAGAGAGGCUCGGCGAAAUAGGAUUGUCUGUGAAGAUACGGACUACCUGCAUUUGGACAGAAAGACCCUAUGAAGCUUUACUAUAGCUUGGAAUUGUGUUCGGGCUUCCUGUGCGCAGGAUAGGUGGGAGGCGAAGAAGGUAUUCUUGUGGGGAUACUGGAGCCAACGGUGAGAUACCACUCUCAGGAGGCUAGAAUUCUAACUUAAUUAAGGACAGUUUCAGGUGGGUAGUUUGACUGGGGCGGUCGCCUCCAAAAAGGUAACGGAGGCGUACAAAGGUUCCCUCAGACUGGUUGGAAAUCAGUCGAAGAGUGCAAAGGCAGAAGGGAGCUUGACUGCGAGAAGUACAGUUCGAGCAGGGUGGAAACACGGUCUUAGUGAUCCGACGGUGCUGUGUGGAAGGGCCGUCGCUCAACGGAUAAAAGUUACUCUAGGAUAACAGGCUGAUCUCCCCCAAGAGUUCACAUCGACGGGGAGGUUUGGCACCUCGAUGUCGGCUCAUCGCAACCUGGGGCGGAAGUACGUCCCAAGGGUUGGGCUGUUCGCCCAUUAAAGCGGUACGUGGGCUGGGUUCAGAACGUCGUGAGACAGUUCGGUCCAUAUCCGAUGUAGGCGUGAGAAUAUUGAGAGGAGCCUUCCUUAGUACGAGAGGACCGGGAAGGACGCACCGCUGGUGUACCUGUUAUGAUGCCAAUUGUAAACGCAGGGUAGCCAAGUGCGGAGAGGAUAACCGCUGAAAGCAUCUAAGUGGGAAGCCCACCUCAAGAUGAGUAUUCUGGUGUAAGGUCACGGGAAGACGACCCGUAAAUAGGCACGAGGUGGAAGUGCAGAGAUGUAUGAAGCCGAAGUGUACUAAUAGACCGUCGGCUUGACC